GAUGAACGCUGGCGGCGUGCCUAAUACAUGCAAGUCGAGCGAACGGACGAGAAGCUUGCUUCUCUGAUGUUAGCGGCGGACGGGUGAGUAACACGUGGAUAACCUACCUAUAAGACUGGGAUAACUUCGGGAAACCGGAGCUAAUACCGGAUGAUAUUUUGAACCGCAUGGUUCAAAAGUGAAAGACGGUCUUGCUGUCACUUAUAGAUGGAUCCGCGCUGCAUUAGCUAGUUGGUAAGGUAACGGCUUACCAAGGCAACGAUGCAUAGCCGACCUGAGAGGGUGAUCGCCCACACUGGAACUGAGACACGGUCCAGACUCCUACGAGAGGCAGCAGUAGGGAAUCUUCCGCAAUGGGCGAAAGCCUGACGGAGCAACGCCGCGUGAGUGAUGAAGGUCUUCGGAUCGUAAAACUCUGUUAUUAGGGAAGAACAUAUGUGUAAGUAACUGUGCACAGCUUGACGGUACCUAAUCAGAAAGCCACGGCUAACUACGUG
rnacentral:rRNA from 1 species